GGGGCUGUUUAUGGAUUCGACAAAAUUAUCAAACUUAAGGAGCAUGUCAAGGUGGUACGGUAGGCCUUGUAAAAAACCGUGCAUAAUGUAAAUGCAAGAAGUGAAAACUACGCUUUAGCAGCAUAAAAAACUGCGGGGCCCUAUCCCUUACUGUUUUCUCUUAGAGAGUAAGCAUAUAGGUCAUUAAUUUUAAGAGAUCGUAUAUAAUUGGUUUUUAAUUAUAUAUUAAAUAAGUAAUGAAACUAAAUAAUAUUAAAUCUUGUUUUAUCAAUUAAUAUUAUUGAAAAUUUUUAAAGAUAAAACUAAACAUGUAGCAGCCAAGAGUGUAGUAAUUUUGGACGGGGGUUCGAAUCCCCCCAGCUCCAUUU
rnacentral:tmRNA from 1 species